rnacentral:rRNA from 1 species
GAUGAACGCUGGCGGCGUGCUUAAUACAUGCAAGUCGAGCGGACGGACGAGACUCUUGCUGUACUGAUGUUUGCGGCGGGCGGGUGAGUCACACGUGUAUAACCUACCUAUAAGACUGGGAUCUCUUCGGGAAACCGGAGCUAAUACCGGAGAAUAUUCUGAACCGCAUGGUUCAAAAGUGAAAUACGGUGUUGCUGGCUCUAAUAGCUGGAUACGCGCUGCUUUAUCUGGUUGGGAAGGUAACGGCUUACCAAGGCAACUAUGCAUAGCCGACCUGAGAGGGGGAUCGGCCACACGGGAACUGAGACACGGUCCAGACUCCUACGGUAGGCAGCAGUAGGGAAUCUUCCGCAAUGGGGGAGAGCCUGACAGAGCAACGCCGCGUGAGUGAUGAAGGUCUUCGGAUCGUAAAACUCUGUUAUGAGUGAAGAACAGAUGUGGAAUUAACUGUGCAGAUAUUGACGGUACCGGAUCAGAAAGCCCCGGCUAACUACGUG